ACAUAUAAACAUCUGAUACGCUGGCAGAGCGGCUGAAUCAGUGUGAGGGAAUGGCACAACUCAGUGACACAGCUGACGACAGGCCUGGACAGGACCCUGGCUGGCUACAGCAGCUGCGAUGCAGACAGCAGGACAUACGGGUGACCACACCACAAUGCAUCGUCAUUGUACCCGUCAUGUCUCUCUGUCACAUGUUUUCAUGUUCCUCUGUUUCUGUUGGAUAUGAUGAUUACAGUAUAAAACAUAUUUAUUGAGUACAAACAACCUUGUGUAGAGUAGGGAUUUGUUGUUGUUGAUUGAGUAAGGGUCAUAAAUGGGACUCACUAAAGCCUGGAUAUUAGGAUAGAUAUGGAUAUUAGCCUACAGUAUAACCCACUGGUACUGGUAGGUUAUCAGGUGAGUGAAAUUAUGUCAGUAGGCACUUAUGUCAAGGUUACUGAGGUGGUAAGUAUUUACUAUAGUCCAGAUGGCAAGACUAGUGUCUGGUUUAAACGUGUCUCUACCUGCACAAUGUUUGACCUUACAUAGACACUGAUAGCAUUGUAAUUACUACAUUAUGAUCCCUUUUUACCAAUCAAAUGAUAAAUGAAUAACAAUACCAUACUCGUUUUUCUCUCCUCCAAAACAUUCACUCCACAUUAAGAUGCUGUGGUUAAAACACAUGUAUUUGCUUAGAUGGGGAGCUGUGGUUGUAGUGAUACAUACCUGGGACCUACAGUCCCAGAUCAUUAUUUCAAUGAAUAUUUAGUUUAUUGGAUUUAUAUAGCACUUUUUCAGAUGCUCAAAGCAUUUACAUAGUAAGGGGGAACUUACCUCAUCCACCACCAAUGUGAAACACACCCCCAGUUUCUGCUUUGGUUUCCGUUUAGAAUCAGACACCGGUGACCUUUCUGUGAGGGGUGAUGCAUGUGCAGGCACAGCAGAUCAACGUCCCACCUCUGCUGCCAGUCAUGGCUUCUUACAAUCAGCCUGCAGUGCCCCUUGUGGCGGGAGGUCAGGACUACAGUUACCACAACACAGACACUGCCCAUGCUCAGGAUUGUCCUUCAGCCACGGAAGAGGCUGAUCAUUCUUCUGUCCCAGGCAUGGAUAUGGUCAUGGUUAUGGAGGGCAGCAGGCAUGCCAGCAGUGAGGGCACCAGGCCACCAUCACAGAGGGGGGAAAGGCCACAGAGACAGACAAAAUCCAACUAAAACAGAGCAACAAGUCAGGGUGGUUUAGCAGCUGGUUCAAACCCGAGCCCAAAGAGCAGCAAAGUGAGACGUCUCACUAUGCGGACUCAGCUGACCCUGUUCCCACUACGUUAAGGGUCAAGCAUACCUACUUUUAACUCUUACCCAGCCAUUAGACAGAGGACAUAACAGCAUGCGCUGCAGCCUGGAUGUCAAGUCAGUGAUCUCAAGUUUAGGUUUUGUAGUGUACCGUCCAACAAAUCAUGUCGAUGGAUAUAACAACAUUUUGUUAUAUCUUAUAAACUUAGUGAAAUAUAAAAACGUUAAUGAAAAGGAUUCUUAAAAUGAAGCGCUAAGGCAACCAUUUUUGGAUAUUAUUAUUAUUAGGAUAUUCAGAGUGUUUGACCUCCUUGUACUUCUCACAAGACCCAGCGGAGGUAUUUGCUGUUGGUCAACCAACUCUUCCCAAUUAUUUGGCAGCGUUAGUAACACCUUCUGCAUUUAAAUACUGCUUCCACUGAGUGAAUUGUAUCAUGCAAGUUAGAUUAAAACUGUGAUUUAUAAGUUACUCUAAAUAAGCUAAGUUAAGUCAGAAGUAAUUAAAAUGAUUUUAUUGUUUUUCUAUAUUCAAUGAUACCAGUAUUUCAAUAUGUUUGAGACUGACUAGCUGAUGAAUUGUUGUACGUUUAACAUACUUUUUAUCAAAAGUAUAGCCUACCAAUUUCUGUCAAAGUAAAGCUUUUCAGAAAAACCCUAAAUACAUGAUUACAUAAUCAGAGACAGGAGUAGCUUUCCUUGUGUCAUAGAAGGUAGACUCUCAAAACUCACCACGAGGAAGCUAUGAACAAUCCUAAUCAUAUCAGUCUAUGUAUGUAUGCCCCUUUAACUGGAGGUUCUGAGACAUAAGCAAACGUAACACAUCCUAGUGUCAUAAAAACAAAUCUGUGUCGUCUGGUUGACUUUCCGAGUGAUACCUUCUUAGUAUGCUCAGUGCCCCUCGGUAUGUAUUCGUCGGUUACCUCGUUGUGCAGUAGUGGGUCACUGGGUCUUGUGCAAUUAUGUAACGCUAGGGUUGCAAAGAGAGUGAAUUUUACUGGUAACUGUCUAACUUUACCAGUAAACUUUUGGAAUUUUGGAAACUCUUUAAUGUAAUUUAUAAAAUGUCAAAUAUAUAAAAUCACAAAUGAAGACUAUUUAAUAUAAAAAAAUUGAAUAACAAAGAUGUAAAACAAUCUCCUAAAUACAGCCCUUCAACUUAGUGAAUAACGUUGCCGUUAAAUAUGGUUUUCAGCAUGAAAUAUAUUUUAUAUUUUUUUACACGCUUUUAUUUAUUUUGAUCUGUCAAUAUGCGUUUGUUGUAAAUGUUUUGGCAACAAACUGGAGAAGUUGUGAAAAAAAGUACAUAGUUGGAAGAGUUGCAGUUAAUUGAAAAUAUUCUUUUCAUAAAUUACGCGAUUUUGUCUUGAAUCGUAGUAUAUCUACUAGAAACUUGUGGACAAUAUGGACAUAGAUAUAACGAUUAAGAAACAUUAAUGAAUAUUUUAUAUGAAUACAUUUUUUAAAACGUUAUUUAAGUAUAAAGUACUAAAGUUACCAUAGAUGACCUGUUAAUUACCAAAAAUGUCAGUGAAUUUGUGAAAUUACCCAUAGUUUUCGCCUAAAAUGACAUACCCAACUGCCUGUAGCUCAGGACAGGAAGCAAGGAUAUGAAUAUUAUUGAUACCAUUUGAACAGAAACACUUUGAAGUUUGUGGAAUGUGAAAUUAAUGUAGGAGAAUAUAACACAUUAGAUCUGGUAAAAGAUAAUUUAAAAAAAAACAAUAAAUGUAAAAAAAUAAAAUUGUUUGUAAUAUCAUCUUUGAAAUGCAAGAGAAAGGCCAUAAUGUAUUAUUCCAGCCCAGGUGAAAUUUAGAUUUUGGCCACCAGAUGGAGCAGUGUCUGUGCAAAGUUUUAGACUGAUACAAUGAACCAUUGCAUUUCUGUUAAAAAUGUUACAUCAAGACUGCCCAAAUGUGCCUAAUUGGUUAAUUAAUAAAGUUCAUAACUGUGCACUCUCCUCAAACAAUAGCCUGGUAUUCUUUCACUGUAAUAUCUACUGUAAAUUGGACAGUGCAGUUAGAUUAACAAGAAUUUAAGCUUUCUGCCAAUAACAGAUAUGUCUAUGUCCUGGGAAAAUGUCUUGUUACUUACAACCUCAUGCUAAUCGCAUUAGUCUACAUUAGCUCCACCGUCCCGUGGGUGGGACACUGCUCUGUAGAGAUCAUUAAGAGGUUAACCUGUUAGGGCUAGGGGGCAGUAUUGACACGGCCGGAUAAAAAACGUACCCGAUUUAAUCUGGUUACUACUCCUGCCCAGUAACUAGAAUAUGCAUAUAAUUAUUGGCUUUGGAUAGAAAACACCCUAAAGUUUCUAAAACUGUUUGAAUGGUGUCUGUGAGUAUAACAGAACUCAAAUGGCAGGCCAAAACCUGAGAAGAUUCCAUGCAGGAAGUGGCCUGUCUGACAAGUUGUGUUUCAUCUUGGCUCUUUUUAUUGAAGACUGAGGAUCUUUGCUCUAACAUGACACUUCCUACGGCUCCCAUAGGCUCUCAGAGCCCGGGAAAAAGCUGAACGAUA
rnacentral:lncRNA from 8 species